UACGUAGGGUGCAAGCGUUGUCCGGAAUUAUUGGGCGUAAAGAGCUCGUAGGCGGUUUGUCGCGUCUGCUGUGAAAACUCAGGGCUUAACCCUGAGCUUGCAGUGGGUACGGGCAGACUAGAGUGCGGUAGGGGAGACUGGAAUUCCUGGUGUAGCGGUGAAAUGCGCAGAUAUCAGGAGGAACACCGGUGGCGAAGGCGACAUCCUGGACCGGUAUUGACGCUGAGGCGCGAAAGCCAGGGGAGCAAACGGG
rnacentral:rRNA from 1 species